rnacentral:lncRNA from 1 species
UGUAAUACAUGCAUCAAUAUGUAUGUGAAGAUUCUAAUUUUCCAAGGCAUAAAGUUGUAACAAAAAAAAACCCACUGAAUAUACACACUUUCUACAAUUUUAAUUUAAGAAGAUAGGCUAAAACAGUUCAUAUGAACCCCACUCAACAAGUUUUUAUAUUUAAUCGUCUCUCUAUUAGCCAGUCCGUUUACGUUUUCAAAUAGUAUUUAAAUUAUUCGUCUACAAAAAAAAUAUACAUUGCAUUUCUCAAUAAAUAAUAUUUCCUCACAUACAUUAUAGAAUUCCUAAUGGUAACUAAAUAUGUGACUCUCAAAAGUGUUGCAACUGUUCUAAUAAUAACUUCUUCAUUUUAAACAAAUCCCAACAUCAUCAAACGACUAAAUACAAAAUCACCACACCAUUGAAAAACUACUACAAAUAGAAUUAUCUUAUAUCAUAACCUAAGUACAAUUUUUGAGUCAAAAUAUUAAGUGUUAACUUAAAAUUAGUUUUUAAACAAAAAGAUAAACACUAUUAAACCUAAUAAAAUAGUUUUUAUUAUAAUU